rnacentral:rRNA from 1 species
GACGAACGCUGGCGGCGUGCUUAACACAUGCAAGUCGAACGGAAAGGCCCUGCUUUUGUGGGGUGCUCGAGUGGCGAACGGGUGAGUAACACGUGAGUAACCUGCCCUUGACUUUGGGAUAACUUCAGGAAACUGGGGCUAAUACCGGAUAGGAGCUCCUGCUGCAUGGUGGGGGUUGGAAAGUUUCGGCGGUUGGGGAUGGACUCGCGGCUUAUCAGCUUGUUGGUGGGGUAGUGGCUUACCAAGGCUUUGACGGGUAGCCGGCCUGAGAGGGUGACCGGCCACAUUGGGACUGAGGUACGGCCCAGACUCCUACGGGAGGCAGCAGUGGGGAAUAUUGCACAAUGGGCGGAAGCCUGGUGCAGCAACGCCGCGUGCGGGAUGACGGCCUUCGGGUUGUAAACCGCUUUCGCCUGUGACGAAGCGUGAGUGACGGUAAUGGGUAAAGAAGCACCGGCUAACUACGUG